rnacentral:rRNA from 1 species
UACUAACGCUGGCGGCGUGCUUAACACAUGCCAGUCGAACGGAAAGGCCCUGCUUUUGUGGGGUGCUCGAGUGGCGAACGGGUGAGUAACACGUGAGUAACCUGCCCUUGACUUUGGGAUAACUUCAGGAAACUGGGGCUAAUACCGGAUAGGAGCUCCUGCUGCAUGGUGGGGGUUGGAAAGUUUCGGCGGUUGGGGAUGGACUCGCGGCUUAUCAGCUUGUUGGUGGGGUAGUGGCUUACCAAGGCUUUGACGGGUAGCCGGCCUGAGAGGGUGACCGGCCACAUUGGGACUGAGAUACGGCCCAGACUCCUACGGGAGGCAGCAGUGGGGAAUAUUGCACAAUGGGCGGAAGCCUGAUGCAGCAACGCCGCGUGCGGGAUGACGGCCUUCGGGUUGUAAACCGCUUUCGCCUGUGACGAAGCGUGAGUGACGGUAAUGGGUAAAGAAGCACCGGCUAACUACGUG